rnacentral:rRNA from 1 species
GGAGGGUGCAAGCGUUAAUCAGAAUUACUGGGCGUAAAGAGCGCGUAGGUGGUUUUUAAGUCAGGUGUGAAAUCCCUAGGCUCAACCUAGGAACUGCAUUUGAAACUGGAAAACUAGAGUUUCGUAGAGGGAGGUAGAAUUCUAGGUGUAGCGGUGAAAUGCGUAGAUAUCUGGAGGAAUACCCGUGGCGAAAGCGGCCUCCUAAACGAAAACUGACACUGAGGCGCGAAAGCGUGGGAGCAAACAGGAUUAGAUACCCCUGGUAGUCCAUGCCGUAAACGAUGUCGACUUGGAGGUUGUUUCCAAGAGAAGUGACUUCCGAAGCUAACGCAUUAAGUCGACCGCCUGGGGAGUACGGCCGCAAGGCUA